CAGCCGCCGCGGUAAAACGGAGGGUGCAAGCGUUAAUCGGAAUUACUGGGCGUAAAGCGCACGCAGGCGGUCUGUCAAGUCGGAUGUGAAAUCCCCGGGCUCAACCUGGGAACUGCAUUCGAAACUGGCAGGCUAGAGUCUUGUAGAGGGGGGUAGAAUUCCAGGUGUAGCGGUGAAAUGCGUAGAGAUCUGGAGGAAUACCGGUGGCGAAGGCGGCCCCCUGGACAAAGACUGACGCUCAGGUGCGAAAGCGUGGGGAGCAAACAGGAUUAGAUACCCGCGUAGUCCCUGUCUCUUAUAA
rnacentral:rRNA from 1 species